UAAGGAAUAUUGGACAAUGGAGGCAACUCUGAUCCAGCCAUGCCGCGUGAAGGAAUAAGGCCCUAUGGGUUGUAAACUUCUUUUAGACGGGACAAAACCCCUUUACGUGUAAAGGGUUGAUGGUACUGUCCGAAUAAGCAUCGGCUAACUUCGUGCCAGCAGCCGCGGUAAUACGAAGGAUGCAAGCGUUAUCCGGAAUUAUUGGGUUUAAAGGGUGCGUAGGCGGACUAAUAAGUCAGUGGUGAAAGCCUGCAGCUUAACUGCAGAAUUGCCAUUGAUACUGUUAGUCUUGAGUACAGUUGAGGUAGGCGGAAUGUGUCAUGUAGCGGUGAAAUGCUUAGAUAUGACACAGAACACCGAUUGCGAAGGCAGCUUGCUAAGCUGUAACUGACGCUGAGGCACGAAAGCGUGGGGAGCAAACA
rnacentral:rRNA from 1 species